AACGAACGCUGGCGGCAUGCCUAACACAUGCAAGUCGAACGAGACCUUCGGGUCUAGUGGCGCACGGGUGCGUAACGCCUGGGAACCUGCCCUUAGGUUCGGAAUAACUCCCCGAAAGGGGUGCUAAUACCGGAUAAUGUCUUCGGACCAAAGAUUUCUCGCCUUUGGAUGGGCCCGCGUUGGAUUCGCUAGUUGGUAGGGUAAAAGCCUACCAAGGCGACGAUCCAUAGCUGGUCUGAUAGGAUGAUCAGCCACACUGGGACUGAGACACGGCCCAGACUCCUACGGGAGGCAGCAGUGGGGAAUAUUGGACAAGGGGCGAAAGCCUGAUCCAGCAAUGCCGCGUGAGUGAUGAAGGCCUUAGGGUUGUAAAGCUCUUUUACCCGGGAUGAUAAUGACAGUACCGGGAGAAUAAGCGCCGGCUAACUCCGUG
rnacentral:rRNA from 1 species